rnacentral:rRNA from 1 species
GGUUAAGCGACUAAGCGUACACGGUGGAUGCCCUGGCAGUCAGAGGCGAUGAAGGACGUGCUAAUCUGCGAUAAGCGUCGGUAAGGUGAUAUGAACCGUUAUAACCGGCGAUUUCCGAAUGGGGAAACCCAGUGUGUUUCGACACACUAUCAUUAACUGAAUCCAUAGGUUAAUGAGGCGAACCGGGGGAACUGAAACAUCUAAGUACCCCGAGGAAAAGAAAUCAACCGAGAUUCCCCCAGUAGCGGCGAGCGAACGGGGAGCAGCCCAGAGCCUGAAUCAGUGUGUGUGUUAGUGGAAGCGUCUGGAAAGGCGCGCGAUACAGGGUGACAGCCCCGUACACAAAAAUGCACAUGCUGUGAGCUCGAUGAGUAGGGCGGGACACGUGGUAUCCUGUCUGAAUAUGGGGGGACCAUCCUCCAAGGCUAAAUACUCCUGACUGACCGAUAGUGAACCAGUACCGUGAGGGAAAGGCGAAAAGAACCCCGGCGAGGGGAGUGAAAAAGAACCUGAAACCGUGUACGUACAAGCAGUGGGAGCCUCUUUUAUGGGGUGACUGCGUACCUUUUGUAUAAUGGGUCAGCGACUUAUAUUCUGUAGCAAGGUUAACCGAAUAGGGGAGCCGAAGGGAAACCGAGUCUUAACUGGGCGUUAAGUUGCAGGGUAUAGACCCGAAACCCGGUGAUCUAGCCAUGGGCAGGUUGAAGGUUGGGUAACACUAACUGGAGGACCGAACCGACUAAUGUUGAAAAAUUAGCGGAUGACUUGUGGCUGGGGGUGAAAGGCCAAUCAAACCGGGAGAUAGCUGGUUCUCCCCGAAAGCUAUUUAGGUAGCGCCUCGUGAAUUCAUCUCCGGGGGUAGAGCACUGUUUCGGCAAGGGGGUCAUCCCGACUUACCAACCCGAUGCAAACUGCGAAUACCGGAGAAUGUUAUCACGGGAGACACACGGCGGGUGCUAACGUCCGUCGUGAAGAGGGAAACAACCCAGACCGCCAGCUAAGGUCCCAAAGUCAUGGUUAAGUGGGAAACGAUGUGGGAAGGCCCAGACAGCCAGGAUGUUGGCUUAGAAGCAGCCAUCAUUUAAAGAAAGCGUAAUAGCUCACUGGUCGAGUCGGCCUGCGCGGAAGAUGUAACGGGGCUAAACCAUGCACCGAAGCUGCGGCAGCGACACUAUGUGUUGUUGGGUAGGGGAGCGUUCUGUAAGCCUGUGAAGGUGUACUGUGAGGUAUGCUGGAGGUAUCAGAAGUGCGAAUGCUGACAUAAGUAACGAUAAAGCGGGUGAAAAGCCCGCUCGCCGGAAGACCAAGGGUUCCUGUCCAACGUUAAUCGGGGCAGGGUGAGUCGACCCCUAAGGCGAGGCCGAAAGGCGUAGUCGAUGGGAAACAGGUUAAUAUUCCUGUACUUGGUGUUACUGCGAAGGGGGGACGGAGAAGGCUAUGUUGGCCGGGCGACGGUUGUCCCGGUUUAAGCGUGUAGGCUGGUUUUCCAGGCAAAUCCGGAAAAUCAAGGCUGAGGCGUGAUGACGAGGCACUACGGUGCUGAAGCAACAAAUGCCCUGCUUCCAGGAAAAGCCUCUAAGCAUCAGGUAACAUCAAAUCGUACCCCAAACCGACACAGGUGGUCAGGUAGAGAAUACCAAGGCGCUUGAGAGAACUCGGGUGAAGGAACUAGGCAAAAUGGUGCCGUAACUUCGGGAGAAGGCACGCUGAUAUGUAGGUGAAGUCCCUCGCGGAUGGAGCUGAAAUCAGUCGAAGAUACCAGCUGGCUGCAACUGUUUAUUAAAAACACAGCACUGUGCAAACACGAAAGUGGACGUAUACGGUGUGACGCCUGCCCGGUGCCGGAAGGUUAAUUGAUGGGGUCAGCGCAAGCGAAGCUCUUGAUCGAAGCCCCGGUAAACGGCGGCCGUAACUAUAACGGUCCUAAGGUAGCGAAAUUCCUUGUCGGGUAAGUUCCGACCUGCACGAAUGGCGUAAUGAUGGCCAGGCUGUCUCCACCCGAGACUCAGUGAAAUUGAACUCGCUGUGAAGAUGCAGUGUACCCGCGGCAAGACGGAAAGACCCCGUGAACCUUUACUAUAGCUUGACACUGAACAUUGAGCCUUGAUGUGUAGGAUAGGUGGGAGGCUUGGAAGUGUGGACGCCAGUCUGCAUGGAGCCGACCUUGAAAUACCACCCUUUAAUGUUUGAUGUUCUAACGUGGACCCGUGAUCCGGGUUGCGGACAGUGUCUGGUGGGUAGUUUGACUGGGGCGGUCUCCUCCUAAAGAGUAACGGAGGAGCACGAAGGUUGGCUAAUCCUGGUCGGACAUCAGGAGGUUAGUGCAAUGGCAUAAGCCAGCUUGACUGCGAGCGUGACGGCGCGAGCAGGUGCGAAAGCAGGUCAUAGUGAUCCGGUGGUUCUGAAUGGAAGGGCCAUCGCUCAACGGAUAAAAGGUACUCCGGGGAUAACAGGCUGAUACCGCCCAAGAGUUCAUAUCGACGGCGGUGUUUGGCACCUCGAUGUCGGCUCAUCACAUCCUGGGGCUGAAGUAGGUCCCAAGGGUAUGGCUGUUCGCCAUUUAAAGUGGUACGCGAGCUGGGUUUAGAACGUCGUGAGACAGUUCGGUCCCUAUCUGCCGUGGGCGCUGGAGAACUGAGGGGGGCUGCUCCUAGUACGAGAGGACCGGAGUGGACGCAUCACUGGUGUUCGGGUUGUCAUGCCAAUGGCACUGCCCGGUAGCUAAAUGCGGAAGAGAUAAGUGCUGAAAGCAUCUAAGCACGAAACUUGCCCCGAGAUGAGUUCUCCCUGACUCCUUGAGAGUCCUGAAGGAACGUUGAAGACGACGACGUUGAUAGGCCGGGUGUGUAAGCGCAGCGAUGCGUUGAGCUAACCGGUACUAAUGAACCGUGAGGCUUAACCUU